rnacentral:rRNA from 1 species
GACGAACGCUGGCGGCGUGCUUAACACAUGCAAGUCGAGCGAGGCCCCUUCUUCGGGAGGGUGUCCUAGCGGCGAACGGGUGAGUAACACGUGGGCAACCUGCCCCCGGCUCUGGGAUAACUCCAAGAAAUUGGGGCUAAUACCGGAUAUGACCGCUGACCGCAUGGUCUGGUGGUGGAAAGAUUUAUCGGCUGGGGAUGGGCCCGCGGCCUAUCAGCUUGUUGGUGGGGUAGUGGCCUACCAAGGCGACGACGGGUAGCCGGCCUGAGAGGGUGACCGGCCACACUGGGACUGAGACACGGCCCAGACUCCUACGGGAGGCAGCAGUGGGGAAUAUUGCGCAAUGGGCGAAAGCCUGACGCAGCGACGCCGCGUGGGGGAUGACGGCCUUCGGGUUGUAAACCUCUUUCAGCAGGGACGAAGCGCAAGUGACGGUACCUGCAGAAGAAGCACCGGCCAACUACGUGCCAGCCGCCGCCGUAACAC